UACGAAGGGGGCUAGCGUUGCUCGGAAUCACUGGGCGUAAAGCGCACGUAGGCGGCUUUUUAAGUCAGGGGUGAAAUCCUGGAGCUCAACUCCAGAACUGCCUUUGAUACUGAGAAGCUUGAGACCGGGAGAGGAGGGUGGAAUACCCAGUGUAGAGGUGAAAUUCGUAGAUAUUGGGUGGAACACCGGUGGCGAAAGCGGCUCUCUGGCCCGGAUCUGACGCUGAGGCGCGAAAGCGUGGGGAGCAAACAGG
rnacentral:rRNA from 1 species